rnacentral:tRNA from 1 species
GCCGAAGUGGUGAAAUGGUAGACACGCAACGUUCAGGGCGUUGUGCCUUAAUUGGCAUGGGGGUUCGAGUCCCCCCUUCGGCA